rnacentral:rRNA from 1 species
UACGUAGGGGGCAAGCGUUUGUCCGGAAUCAUUGGGCGUAAAGAGCUCGUAGGCGGCUUGUCACGUCGGGUGUGAAAGCCCGGGGCUUAACCCCGGGUCUGCAUUCGAUACGGGCUAGCUAGAGUGUGGUAGGGGAGAUCGGAAUUCCUGGUGUAGCGGUGAAAUGCGCAGAUAUCAGGAGGAACACCGGUGGCGAAGGCG